CAGCAGCCACGGUAACACGGAGGGUGCAAGCGUUAUCCGGAUUUAUUGGGUUUAAAGGGUCCGUAGGCGGAUCUGUAAGUCAGUGGUGAAAUCUCACAGCUUAACUGUGAAACUGCCAUUGAUACUGCAGGUCUUGAGUAAAUUUGAAGUGGCUGGAAUAAGUAGUGUAGCGGUGAAAUGCAUAGAUAUUACUUAGAACACCAAUUGCGAAGGCAGGUCACUAAGAUUUAACUGACGCUGAUGGACGAAAGCGUGGGGAGCGAACAGGAUUAGAUACCCCCGUAGUCCCUGUCUCUUAUAC
rnacentral:rRNA from 1 species